rnacentral:misc_RNA from 1 species
GGGUGGCCUACCGCAGCGGGAAAUUCGAGCAGCCGUCUGUCGCACCACUCUACUAUCGGCCGGAGGACUGGGUCGUUUCCACCUGGUGGCGCAAGAGAUGAGAUGUAGCGGCGGCAGCCGCCUAAGCUAGGGCUGCGGUGCGAUCCAGAGAUCGCCGAAGGAAAAGAGGUUACGGAGAGAAACCUGGGUUUCUCUCUGUUCGUGAUCCGGCCUUCGGCUGCCGAAGGCGGCCCGGAGCGAAGCAAAGGAGCGGCGUAGAUCUUUAUGUGGUCAUACAUCCUGAAGCGGCUGUUGCUGAUGAUCCCCACGCUGCUGGGCAUCCUGGUGAUCACCUUUGUCAUCACCCAGUUCGUGCCCGGCGGCCCGGUGGAGCAGAUGGUGGCGCAGUUG